AUAACAUAUUUAUAUAUAGCCUCCAGAAAUAUAAACAUAGAAGAACAAGCACAUUCCCACUUCUGAUUAAUUUGUCGUCAUCGUUUUCUCAGGUGGUGGUCCUAAGAGUGUCUAUUGCAUUACAGAGGAUGCGAAAGUAAAAUGAGUCAACAUAUUUACAAAGUCGAAGUAAUGAGGCCCUUCAAUAUAUAUUUUGUAGCAAAGAAAGUGACGGUAAUAAGAAAGAUUACGUCGUUGGAGGUGUUGUCGAGCAUAUCAAAGGUGAAAACGCACAGCUAUAGGCUCCGACCAUAACAUCGGAAUUCAAAGGCGCUUGAGUUACAGAGAAAUGGAGUAACCGCCUAGCCUAAUAUUCACUAUUUCAUUGUCUUGUUUAUAAAUUCAUACACUAUUAAAUUGCAAUUUAUGUUGAUGAGAGAGAGAGAGAGAGAGAGAGAGAGAGAGAGAGAGGUUUCUUGAAUGAUUUGAUGAGAUGUGAAGGAGUAGAGAAACGAGGAGCGCAAAGAUGGUGAGGGAGAUGAGUAAUGUGAGGAUUUUAGUGUGUGUUUUGAUGAAAUAAGGGAUAAUGAUGUCUCUAAUCCAUGAAUUGAAUAAGAGAUUUUAAUCCGUUGAAGAA